AUGGCGGUCCUUAUGUGCUCGUAUGAUGGUUUUACCAAAGCAUAUGAUGUAGUCUUUGAUCACAUGCCUAUUUGGCUCCAGAUACAUAAGCUACCGGAUCCCUACUCUAAACAGGGGAUCGUGGAGAGGCUCCUCAAAGGGGCUGGUGAAAUCUUGGAGAUGAGAUUGAACGGCAACACCCGUGGGGAUUAUGUUAGGGUUAGGGUUAACCAUGACAUCAAACAGCCGCUUACAAAGUUGGUGAGCGUUGUAAAUGCUCAGGAGAGACAAGUCUAUCUGGUUCGAUAUGAGAAGGUGGCUCGUUUUUGCAAUUUCUGUGGUCUAAUUGGACAUGACCAUAAGGAGUGUGGUUCUGGUGUUCACGAUCAGAAGAAACUUAAGUUUGGAGAUUGGUUGUAAGCGGAUGGGCCUAACCACCAGCGUCCUGAGCAAAACCCUAGCAGGGCUAGCGAGCCACUACAAACGAAGAACAACGGCAGCCCGAGUGCUCUGUUGGUUCCUGGCGGUAAGGGAGUUGAUCCUGAGACCCUGGAUACGGCAACGAGCCCUGUGAAGAACCUGGGGGUGAGCAUGGAGGUUGAUAGAGAAGCUAGGAAGAGACUUAAUAUGGACAACCCUGGUGAUGAUGUUCUGAAUACUACCAGCACCCCGAAGGCGAUCUUGGCAAUCACUGAUGACAAUGGUCAGGACUUAGGGGAUAAUGCCUCCCCCUCUAGCAACACCUCUAGCAGUAACGUGUUAAACUCAGUUUGA
rnacentral:rRNA from 1 species